rnacentral:lncRNA from 1 species
CAUGACUGACUCUCAGCUGUGUCUGGAGGCCCUGUCGGCUCUUUCCGACUGCAGCGUCGAGCCGACCAGCGGAGCCUCCCAGCUCACCCCACAGGACUUUGUCAACAUCGUGGCCCUCAAGGAGUUUUACAAGCAGGAGGGGUUUAAAGAGCUAGAGUAUCCCAGUAUAGGGACUCUAUCCUUGCACGAACUUGACGAGCAGGACAUGUACAGCUCCCCCCUGGUGCUGACCGAAGGCAUCGCCGGGCCGGAGCAAAGCCUCAGAACUAAGCUCAAGAUCAAUCCUCUGGACUUCUUCCACCCUCAGUACGACUAUGACUUCAGAAACAUUAAGGAUGGCAACAAAACGUUCCUGCGUGGUGAUGAGCAAUACAUUCGUCCCUGUGGGUGGAACCGGGUCGCCCUGCGGGUCACACAGAAAUAUGAUGACGGGGACAUCUGGCUCGGAACAGGGAAAGACGCCUGGCCUGUUUCCUACCACGGACAGAACAUGGACGGCUCCCUCGGCAUCAUCCUGACCCGUGGCGGGAGCCUGGAAGAUGAGCCAAAGUUUCUGGAUGCUGCCGCAGCCCAUGUGAUCACUGGGGAAACAAGGGGCAGAGGGGUGUACUCCACGCCAGACAUCAAGAUGGCGGAGAAGUACUGCAAGAGGUUCAAGUCCAAAGUGGACGGGAAGACGUACAAAGUGGUUCUACAGAACCGCAUCAACCCAGAGAAGAGGGUGAAGUGCCAGAGGGAGGACAUCUGGUUGGUCUACGUCCCAAAAGGCUGCAGUGAUGUCCAGACGAGGGCCAUCGUGCAGGAGUCCAUCCGACCGUACGGGCUGCUGCUGAUGCAGGCGUGACAAAGCUUAUAACCCACAUCUUAAGCGUAUAAGGGAAAUUAAUUAAAUCUGAAGUGUUUAACAUCAACAAAAUGAAAUCAAGUAAAUGUAUGUUUGUUGGGUGUAUAAAUAGCCAACAUAUCAGUCUGCCCUUUAUCCUUACAUUUUAUUAAAAACUGUUCUUGCUUUUCCUCUCAAAUGGCAACCUUACUUGAUUUACUAUAUUGGGGACAUCCUGUUGACCUAUGGUCAAAUAAGCUGCCUGUAAAAAUCUAUUUAACUAUGGUUAACAGCAGUGUUACAAUUGAUGGGUGUAACUACUAGAAAAUAAAAACAAAAUGAACCUGUGGCUGUGGUUUCAUCUGUGAACAUGCAGUAAAUCUGAAUCAGCAGUUUAGCUCUCUACAUGAUUUGCUUAAAUGCAAGAAAAGACUGAUUUAUGCUGCCAUCUAGUGGUCAACUGUCUGAUUUCUUGUAGCUUCUACAUAUUGAACAAACCUUUGACAAAGUAGUGACAUUGAAUUAUUCUAGUUCCUUUGAAGAUCAUUUUAAUUGUUUGCUUUUUUUUCUUUGCACAAAAUCAACAAUUAAACUGUGUUGAUCAAUGCCUAAAAGUGCUUUGGUUAUUCUAGUGUUAUAGAUUCAAGGUAAUUGAACAUGUUACGCUUCACAAAGAUAUGAAGAGGGU